rnacentral:rRNA from 1 species
AGCUCCAAUAGCGUAUAUUAAAGUUGUUGCGGUUAAAAAGCUCGUAGUUGGAUUUCUGUUGAGAACAGCCGGUCCGCCUCUUGGGCGUGUAUCUGGAUUGGUCUCGGCAUCCUCGUUAGAGACGUUGCUGCGCUUGAUUGCGUGGUACGGAGCUAGCGACUUUUACUUUGAGGAAAUUAGAGUGUUCACGGCAGGCAAACGCCUUGAAUAUAUUAGCAUGGAAUAAUGAUAUAGGACUUCGGUUCUAUUUUGUUGGUUUCUAGAGCUGAAGUAAUGAUUAAUAGGGACAGUUGGGGGCAUUCGUACUAAUGCGUCAGAGGUGAAAUUCUUGGAUUGCAUUAUGACGAACUACUGCGAAAGCAUUUGCCAAGGGUGUUUUCA